GCGGAUGUGGCGGAACUGGCAGACGCGCUGGUCUUAGGAACCAGUGUCAUCGACGUGGGGGUUCAAGUCCCUUCAUCCGCACCA
rnacentral:tRNA from 1 species